rnacentral:rRNA from 1 species
ACGAACGCUUGCGGCGUGCCUAAGAAAUGCAAGUCGAACGGGGACUUCGGUCCUAGUGGCGAACGGUCGCGUAACACGUAAGCAACCUGCCCUGAAGUGGGGGACAACAUCCCGAAAGGGGUGCUAAUACCGCAUGUGGUCACGAGUCGGCAUCGACUUGUGUCUAAAGAUUUAUCGCUUCAGGAUGGGCUUGCGGCCUAUCAGGUAGUUGGUGGGGUAAUGGCCUACCAAGCCGACGACGGGUAGCUGGUCUGAGAGGACGAUCAGCCGGAUUGGGACUGAGAUACGGCCCAGACUCCUACGGGGGGCAGCA